rnacentral:rRNA from 1 species
GUUAAGCGACUAAGCGUACACGGUGGAUGCCCUGGCAGUCAGAGGCGAUGAAGGACGUGCUAAUCUGCGAUAAGCGUCGGUAAGGUGAUAUGAACCGUUAUAACCGGCGAUUUCCGAAUGGGGAAACCCAGUGUGAUUCGUCACACUAUCAUUAACUGAAUCCAUAGGUUAAUGAGGCGAACCGGGGGAACUGAAACAUCUAAGUACCCCGAGGAAAAGAAAUCAACCGAGAUUCCCCCAGUAGCGGCGAGCGAACGGGGAGCAGCCCAGAGCCUGAAUCAGUGUGUGUGUUAGUGGAAGCGUCUGGAAAGGCGCGCGAUACAGGGUGACAGCCCCGUACACAAAAAUGCACAUGCUGUGAGCUCGAUGAGUAGGGCGGGACACGUGGUAUCCUGUCUGAAUAUGGGGGGACCAUCCUCCAAGGCUAAAUACUCCUGACUGACCGAUAGUGAACCAGUACCGUGAGGGAAAGGCGAAAAGAACCCCGGCGAGGGGAGUGAAAAAGAACCUGAAACCGUGUACGUACAAGCAGUGGGAGCACGCUUCGGCGUGUGACUGCGUACCUUUUGUAUAAUGGGUCAGCGACUUAUAUUCUGUAGCAAGGUUAACCGAAUAGGGGAGCCGAAGGGAAACCGAGUCUUAACUGGGCGUUAAGUUGCAGGGUAUAGACCCGAAACCCGGUGAUCUAGCCAUGGGCAGGUUGAAGGUUGGGUAACACUAACUGGAGGACCGAACCGACUAAUGUUGAAAAAUUAGCGGAUGACUUGUGGCUGGGGGUGAAAGGCCAAUCAAACCGGGAGAUAGCUGGUUCUCCCCGAAAGCUAUUUAGGUAGCGCCUCGUGAAUUCAUCUCCGGGGGUAGAGCACUGUUUCGGCAAGGGGGUCAUCCCGACUUACCAACCCGAUGCAAACUGCGAAUACCGGAGAAUGUUAUCACGGGAGACACACGGCGGGUGCUAACGUCCGUCGUGAAGAGGGAAACAACCCAGACCGCCAGCUAAGGUCCCAAAGUCAUGGUUAAGUGGGAAACGAUGUGGGAAGGCCCAGACAGCCAGGAUGUUGGCUUAGAAGCAGCCAUCAUUUAAAGAAAGCGUAAUAGCUCACUGGUCGAGUCGGCCUGCGCGGAAGAUGUAACGGGGCUAAACCAUGCAC